rnacentral:rRNA from 1 species
AUUGAACGCUGGCGGCAGGCCUAACACAUGCAAGUCGAGCGGAUGAAGGGAGCUUGCUCCUGGAUUCAGCGGCGGACGGGUGAGUAAUGCCUAGGAAUCUGCCUGGUAGUGGGGGAUAACGUCCGGAAACGGGCGCUAAUACCGCAUACGUCCUGAGGGAGAAAGUGGGGGAUCUUCGGACCUCACGCUAUCAGAUGAGCCUAGGUCGGAUUAGCUAGUUGGUGGGGUAAAGGCCUACCAAGGCGACGAUCCGUAACUGGUCUGAGAGGAUGAUCAGUCACACGGGAACUGAGACACGGUCCAGACUCCUACGGGAGGCAGCAGUGGGGAAUAUUGGACAAUGGGCGAAAGCAUGAUACAGCCAUGCCGCGUGUGUGAAGAAGGUCUUCGGAUUGUAAAGAACUUUAAGUUGGGAGGAAGGGCAGUAAGUUAAUACCUUGCUGUUUUGACGUUACCAACAGAAUAAGCACUGGCUAACUUCGUG